rnacentral:lncRNA from 1 species
AAGGCCGUAAAUGCUCCACUUUUAUUACUUGGUUCACCGUAAUUUCACUUCCGGUCGAAAUAUUGUAAUUAACUUCGGCACUGCCAAACAAACAGCAAAAGUGAAAGAACUUUAAUUCUUUAAGAAUACAAAUAAACAAAUUCGAUCUAAACUUUACUUUCAGUGAGAUAAACCAGCUGGCCCUGUGUGAACAAACAAGGAGUUUCUUGGCACUAUUCUUAGUUACUUCAAAAUUUUCAAAAAGCUAAAAAUCAAAGCAUCAUAAUCACAUCCUCCAUCAAUUUCCAAUUAUAUGAACUUCCACUAUUCUAUUUGUUUCCCCAUCAAUUUUGCUAUUGAUGAGUAGUGAUAGUUUCCUCAGCUGGUGAGAGACUCACAAAGCAAAAGGCUUCUAGAACUUUGACUAAUAUUGAUUAGCAAAACACAAAGUGGGUCAAUGAAAAUGAUUUGCAAUUAGGCAUAUCUCAAAAUUUUCAAACCAAAAAAUGGACUUGGAAAAUAGACACAAGUUAAGAUCAGAUAUUAGCUGACCCCACC